rnacentral:rRNA from 1 species
AGAGUUUGAUCCUGGCUCAGAUUGAACGCUGGCGGCAGGCCUAACACAUGCAAGUCGAGCGGAUGAAGGGAGCUUGCUCCCUGAUUUAGCGGCGGACGGGUGAGUAAUGCCUAGGAAUCUGCCUGGUAGUGGGGGAUAACGUUCCGAAAGGAACGCUAAUAUCGCAUACGUCCUACGGGAGAAAGCAGGGGACCUUCGGGCCUUGCGCUAUCAGAUGAGCCUAGGUCGGAUUAGCUAGUUGGUGAGGUAAUGGCUCACCAAGGCGACGAUCCGUAACUGGUCUGAGAGGAUGAUCAGUCACACUGGAACUGAGACACGGUCCAGACUCCUACGGGAGGCAGCAGUGGGGAAUAUUGGACAAUGGGCGAAAGCCUGAUCCAGCCAUGCCGCGUGUGUGAAGAAGGUCUUCGGAUUGUAAAGCACUUUAAGUUGGGAGGAAGGGCAUUAACCUAAUACGUUAGUGUUUUGACGUUACCGACAGAAUAAGCACCGGCUAACUUCGUGCCAGCAGCCGCGGUAAUACGAAGGGUGCAAGCGUUAAUCGGAAUUACUGGGCGUAAAGCGCGCGUAGGUGGUUCGUUAAGUUGGAUGUGAAAGCCCCGGGCUCAACCUAGGAACUGCAUCCAAAACUGGCGAGCUAGAGUACGGUAGAGGGUGGUGGAAUUUCCUGUGUAGCGGUGAAAUGCGUAGA